UACGUAGGGGGCUAGCGUUGUCCGGAUUUAUUGGGCGUAAAGAGCGUGUAGGCGGCCUGGUAGGUCUGCUGUGAAAACUCGAGGCUCAACCUCGAGAUGUCGGCGGAAACCAUCUGGCUAGAGUCCGGAAGAGGUGGGUGGAAUUCCUAGUGUAGAGGUGAAAUUCGUAGAUAUUAGGAAGAACACCGGUGGCGAAGGCGGCCCACUGGUCCGGUACUGACGCUGAGGUGCGAAAGCGUGGGGAGCAAACAGG
rnacentral:rRNA from 1 species